rnacentral:rRNA from 1 species
GACGAACGCUGGCGGCGUGCUUAACACAUGCAAGUCGAACGGAAAGGCCCUGCUUGCAGGGUGCUCGAGUGGCGAACGGGUGAGUAACACGUGGGUGAUCUGCCCCUUACUUUGGGAUAAGCCUGGGAAACUGGGUCUAAUACUGGAUAGGACCAUGCUGUAGGUGGUGUGGUGGAAAGAUUAGUUUCGGUAAGGGAUGAGCUCGCGGCCUAUCAGCUUGUUGGUGGGGUAAUGGCCUACCAAGGCGUCGACGGGUAGCCGGCCUGAGAGGGUGGACGGCCACAUUGGGACUGAGAUACGGCCCAGACUCCUACGGGAGGCAGCAGUGGGGAAUAUUGCACAAUGGGCGCAAGCCUGAUGCAGCGACGCCGCGUGGGGGAUGACGGCCUUCGGGUUGUAAACUCCUUUCAGCCGUGACGAAGCCUUCGGGUGACGGUAGUGGUAGAAGAAGCACCGGCUAACUACGUG